GCCAGGUGUGGUGGGAACGCCUGUAAUCCUAGCAGCUAGGGAGGCUGAGGCAAGAGUCUCCAAGUUGGAGGCCAGCCUCAGCAAUUUAGCAAGGCCCAAGCAACUUAGUGAGACCUUGUCUCAA
rnacentral:sRNA from 1 species